GGAAACCUUAAAGUGGCAGGAAGAAAAUAAGGAGCUAACUGUUGAGCUAAAGAAUGUUAAACAACAGAGAGACCAGGACAGGAACAGUUUGAGAAAACUCAGGAAUGAGUUUGAAAACCUGGAGAUUGGAGUGGAGGAACUUCAGUUAGAGCUACAGCAUAGGGAUGAGCUGAUUAAUCAGAAACACCAGCACUUAAAGCACCUUGAGGAAACUGUGGAGGAAUAUUCCAACAUCAUUAAGGCAAUAGUGUUUACACUUUAUAUUCUUCUUAACAGUUCUAAC